CCAGAUCCCGCCCCCUCGGCAGGACCAGACCCGACAGUUCGGCAGGACCAGACCCCGACCGUUCGGCAGGACAAGACCCCGACCGUACGGCAGGUCCAGACCCUGACCGUUCGGCAGGUCCAGCUCUUGCCCGCUGGUCUCACAGCAGGACCAGAACCCGCCCGCUCGGCAGGACCAGAUCCCGCCCCCUCGGCAGGACCAGACCCCGGCCUCUCGGCAGGACCAGACCCCGGCCUCUCGGCAGGACCAGACCCCGGCCAUCUCGGCAGGACCAGACCCCGGCCAUCUCGGCAGGACCAGACCCCGCCCGCUCGCUCAGCAGACAAGUUUUGUCCGUGAAGACAAAAAUAUGAAGCAGGCUUCAAUGAAGCAGCCCCCCCAUCCUGAAAUACAAAUUAAAUAUUAUGUACACACGUGAAACUUGAGAUUAUUGGUUAACAAGUAUUUAAAACUGAGAUCUGGGUUUGUUUUUAAUACUUUGAUUACUCAGUUAGCUGGAUAUUAUUGUUAAUACUUUUCUUUGAUCUAUUUGAAUCUUAAAAUCUUAUCCUGUAGUUGUUGUCAAGCAACAGAUUUAAAUGUUAAAACCUCUCCGGGGACCAGGCUUAGUUAACCAGAAAUGAGAGCUUUAUAAUUGAGGUGAUAGGGGAAGUCUGUCACAGCUUUGUCCUCUUCAUGUUUAUAAGAGUAAUCUGUUGAGGAUGCUGUGAUAUGAAUAUGUGUAAACUUAUAAAUUAGAAAAAUGUAAAUGUUAAAAAAUGUGACUUUUCCAUUCUUCUGUAAUAGUAACAGUAAACAGGAUAGAUUACAGAUGAGUACAGUGUACAAGCUUAAAAUACAGGUAUACAAUCAACAUAACAUUUAACAUUAUUGUCAUAACUAAGUACCAGUUACAAUAACAUUAACUCAUAAGCAGACGUCAUGAGUUGCAGGAUUUCUUCCCCAUGGUUCCCAAAUGGCCACAGACAGACAGACAGACUGUAUAACUGAAUAUAACUGUAUAACCUCCAGCAAUGAAGAAGAUUCAAAGAAAGAAAGGAAGAAUUGUUAUACAGUGAAUUAUUAACACGUUUUGUUAGUUGAUUUAUUUGCAUUAUUUUUAAAAGUUUAUUUUGUACAUUGUUUUUCUGUAUUGAAUGACCUUCCUUUUUUAGGGAGUCAGACACACUUGAUCAGUCAGAUCGAGACUCGUCUGUUUAACCAAGCGUUCACCUGAUUUAUUACCUAAACAUGUUUAUGCUUCAAUAGUGAGCUUGACCCAAACCAAACACACAUCUAUCUUACUGUAAAACUUGUACAUUAUAUAUCAGCAGCCUCCAAACUAACAUCAGCUUGUUUUGUCUGCAUGUCUCAUGCUUUUGUUUUCAGACUCAGCUCCGGUUCAGUGUGAUGCUCAAUGAUGACUGCAGCCAUCAACCAGAAGCAAUGAAAUCUGUGAUGAUCAAAACCUUCAACUUUGCAUCCCAGGAUCUGUCACCGAAAUGCAUCGAUGCGAGUAAGUGAAGCAACUGUGAGGAUGAGACGGUCCACAUGCUCCUAAACUGUGAUGCAGAAACACAAUGAGAGGAUCCAUCUGUCUCUGACCACAAAAUCACAGCUCAACUACAUCUGAUAUAGGAACACAACAGGUCGGUUUAUCCUAGUCCCAGACUAAAAUGCAAUUUUUUUCUGACAUCUCAGCAUAUAUCAGUGCCAUUGUUUUGUCUCAUAGUUUUUUUUACUAUUUAAAUGUCCUAAUAUAACUAAACCUAGUCCUGGUUUAAUCUAAAUGCUUUCCAGGAAACUGCCCCUAAAAGUCUAACACUGUUCAGCGAUCUCACAAACCUCGAUACUGUAUAAACUUCGACACAGUUUAAUUCAAAGUUUUUACUUAAAAUGUAUCAUUUCUAUUUUUGACUUAAAUGAUAUUUAGUUUUGGUCAUAUUUUUGUCAACUAACUACAUAUCAGAACAUUUUAUUUGAUUAAGGGGCAGUUUUCUGGAUAUGGUUUAGAUUAAUCCAGGACUAGGUCUUAGUUGUAUUAAGACAUUUAAGUAGUUUUUACAAACAUACCAUACAAAAUAACAAUACUGUUGUGCAUCUUGAGACAAAACAAUGCCACUGAUAUAUGUUAAGAUGUGUCAAUACAAGAGGUUUUUAAAUGAAGGCAGCUCAAACAUGCAUUGUAGUCUGGGACUGAGACCUAUCCCAGAAAUCACCCCUAAAUAUCUACAGUAUCUAACAGGUGGGUUUAGUGUAAUAGUCCUGUCUUGUGUUUCCCCUGUUCAUGUCUGUUAUUUUGAAGUCUUGAUGUUGUCUGCCAUGUUUGUAGUUCUUUUGUUGUGUUGGUCCAUGUCUGAUUGUCUCCCUAGGUGUGUCUUGUUUCCUUGUUACCCAGGUGUAUAUAUUGCCCUUGUGUUUCAGUUGUCCUUUGUGGAGUACUGUGAUGUUGUUUCUGUUAUGAUUGGUUUGGAUUAUCUUGUUUUAUUUUGAUAUAAUAAACGUUACCUGCACUUGGAUCUACUGUCUGCUCUCAUCAUUACAUUUAGUGCCUUUUGGCCUGUUUAAUGAAAUUAUUGAUUUGACG